AGCAAAGAAGUGGAAAGUCUCAGCAAAGCAAUAGAAGACAUAAAAAGAACCAAAUGGAAAAAUUUAGAACUGAAAAAAAUCUAUAACAGACAU